GUUGACUUGGCAAAUACAUUGGAGGGUUGAACCUUAUGAUUUGGGCUUUAACUAUUUUCAUUUGUGGACUGGGCCAAAUUGUUAGCAUUUUGAACCCCAAACAGAAAGUAAGUCAAAGUUUUAUCACAACUUUACAAAUAUUAACAAAUAUAAGCAAACCGACUCUAAUAUAUAACUCAACAUAUAAAUCUCAUCUCAAAAUAAAGGCUCAAACUUUUUACAAAACAUGGCAUUAAUCAGAGUCAUCUACAUUUGUAAAGGUUUGAAGUAUCUUAGCAUUUUCAUUGUUCUGUUUUUCCAUUCCUUAUUAUUUUCUCCUACAGACCCUUUGGCUUUUUGUUGGCUGUACGUUCAUUCUAUACUUGAUAGAAAGGAUUGACUGUGCACUUGAUGACUUCUUCUUGCCUAGUCAUGCCCCAGAUCAACUGGUGAAGGCGGCGAUCGCGAUUUAGCCGUUUAAUCAUCCGCUCAAAUACUAUGUAUGCAUCAUCCGAGUCCAUAAAUGUUUACUCGGGUUUAUUUUAUUUUUUGUAGUUUUUUUUUUUUAAUUUAUGUAUAUGUAAUGUAAUCUCUCAUAUAUGGGAAAUAAACCACCUUAAUUGCUA